rnacentral:rRNA from 1 species
AGGGAAUCUUCCACAAUGGACGCAAGUCUGAUGGAGCAACGCCGCGUGAGUGAAGAAGGUUUUCGGAUCGUAAAGCUCUGUUGUUGGUGAAGAAGGAUAGAGGCAGUAACUGGUCUUUAUUUGACGGUAAUCAACCAGAAAGUCACGGCUAACUACGUGCCAGCAGCCGCGGUAAUACGUAGGUGGCAAGCGUUGUCCGGAUUUAUUGGGCGUAAAGCGAGCGCAGGCGGAAUGAUAAGUCUGAUGUGAAAGCCCACGGCUCAACCGUGGAACUGCAUCGGAAACUGUCAUUCUUGAGUGCAGAAGAGGAGAGUGGAACUCCAUGUGUAGCGGUGGAAUGCGUAGAUAUAUGGAAGAACACCAGUGGCGAAGGCGGCUCUCUGGUCUGCAACUGACGCUGAGGCUCGAAAGCAUGGGUAGCGAACAGGAUUAGAUACCCUGGUAGUCCAUGCCGUAAACGAUGAGCGCUAGGUGUUGGGGACUUUCCGGUCCUCAGUGCCGCAGCAAACGCAUUAAGCGCUCCGCCU